rnacentral:rRNA from 1 species
UACGUAGGGGGCAAGCGUUGUCCGGAUUUAUUGGGCGUAAAGAGCGUGUAGGCGGUCUGGUAGGUCCGUUGUGAAAACUCGAGGCUCAACCUCGAGACGCCGAUGGAAACCAUCAGACUAGAGUCCGGAAGAGGAGAGUGGAAUUCCUGGUGUAGCGGUGAAAUGCGCAGAAUAUCAGGAAGAACACCCGUGGCUAAGGCGGCUCCUCUAGUAACGGUACUGACGCUGAGACGGCGAAAGCGUGGGGAGCGAACAGG